GGGCCAGUGGCGCAAUGGAUAACGCUCCUGACUAUGGAUCAGGAGAUUCCGGGUUAGAAUCCUGGCUGGCUUG